GGAGAGUCCUGCCUCUGCUCCUCCUGGGUGGUGUGGGGGUGUUUUGUGUGUCUCGGCUAUAGAGGGACCUUGGAAGUCUCCAGCCCAACUCCCUUCUUUACUGAUGAGCAAAGUGACUUGUUUAAGGCGAGGAAGUUAACAGGAGGAGCAACCUUCCUAAGCUCACUCAGAGAGUGAGUGGCAAAGCUACCAGCCAUUGACUUGUCGAUGCCUGAGGUGACUCCGAUUCCCUGGGUAGCCACUUCCACUCUCAGUCUGAGCCCUUCUGCACGAGACCCCCAGUGUCCCAAGGGUCAGGGGCAGGACCGCUAACCUGCCACGGGGUGCGCAUAGCCCCCUGCUUCAUGGAGCAAGCUCUCUACCUUCCUGGACACCUUAUUUCAGCCAAAGGUCUCUCCACUCCCCAAAGCCAGAGAGGAUGAAAGGUCAGGAAAAUGCCUCUGAGAAUAUCCUGGUGCGUGCGUCCUGCUGCGUCAUCUGGCCGCUCGCCUUCACCCCUGCUCCCCCAGCCUACAGCUGCGCGCUUCUGUGCAGAAACGGGCCGCGCUGGGUUCUCUCCGAGAUGGAUUCUUUUGCUGUUGCCCUAGUAACAGAAUUAUUAAACCAAGUUCCAGCCUCGGGAGUAUUUGUGCCUGGUGAGGUAAUGUCUGUCGCAUGCAGCCUUUUCAUUCCUAGCCCCAGCCCCUCGCUUCAGGCUCUCGGUAUCUCACCCCUAGACUGAUGGGCUCAGCUCCUCCCUGGCCCCAGAUGCCACCUGUUCCCCAUCUCCACCCCAGGGUGGCUCCCAGCUGAGCAACACCCUUUCUCAGCCUCAGAGACUCUGUGUUGACCAAACCCCCCAUCAGCCUGGCAUUCAGAGCCCCCCAUCGUGGCCCAUACCACUUUCCAAAAGCCCACAGUGCUCCCUUCCCAAAGCCCACAGGGCUCCGUGCACUUUAGCAGAGCGGGCUGUGCCUGAAGUCCAGUGACAGGGAGGAGAUCCAGGAGGAACAAAGACGGAGAAUCCACAGGACUUAGGUAGCAACUGGUUGGUGGA